rnacentral:rRNA from 1 species
UACGGGGGGAGCAAGCGUUGUUCGGAUUUACUGGGCGUAAAGGGCGCGUAGGUGGUUCUGUAUGUCUACCGUGAAAGCGUACGGCUCAACCGUAUUUUGUCGGUAGAAACUGCAGGACUUGAGGCUGGGAGGGGCUGGUGGAAUUCCCUGUGUAGCGGUGAAAUGCGUAGAGAUGGGGGAGAACACUCGUGGCGAAGGCGGCCAGCUAGACCAGUUCUGACACUGAGGCGCGACAGCGUGGGGAGCAAACAGG